rnacentral:rRNA from 1 species
CCUACGGGCGGCAGCAGUGAGGAAUAUUGGUCAAUGGGCGCGAGCCUGAACCAGCCAAGUAGCGUGAAGGAUGACUGCCCUACGGGUUGUAAACUUCUUUUAUAAAGGAAUAAAGUGAGGCACGUGUGCCUUUUUGUAUGUACUUUAUGAAUAAGGAUCGGCUAACUCCGUGCCAGCAGCCGCGGUAAUACGGAGGAUCCGAGCGAUAUCCGGAUUUAUUGGGGUUAAAGGGAGCGUAGAUGGGUUGUUAAGUCAGUUGUGAAAGUUUGCGGCUCAACCGUAAAAUUGCAAUUGUGACUGGCAGCCUUGAGUACAGUUGAGGUAGGCGGAAUGCGUGGUGGAGCGGUGAAAUGCUUAGAUAUCACGAAGAACUCCGAUUGCGAAGGCAGCUUACUAAACUGCCACUGACAUUGAUGCUCGAAAGUGUGGGUAUCAAACAGGAUUAGAUACCCCAGUAGUC